rnacentral:siRNA from 1 species
AGAGUGCACGAAGCGCCUCACACU